AUUGAACGCUGGCGGCAGGCCUAACACAUGCAAGUCGAACGGUAACAGGGAUCAGCUUGCUGAUUCGCUGACGAGUGGCGGACGGGUGAGUAAUGUCUGGGAAACUGCCUGAUGGAGGGGGAUAACUACUGGAAACGGUAGCUAAUACCGCAUAACGUCGCAAGACCAAAGAGGGGGACCUUCGGGCCUCUUGCCAUCGGAUGUGCCCAGAUGGGAUUAGCUAGUAGGUGGGGUAACGGCUCACCUAGGCGACGAUCCCUAGCUGGUCUGAGAGGAUGACCAGCCACGCUGGAACUGAGACACGGGCCAGACUCCUACGGGAGGCAGCAGUGGGGAAUAUUGCACAAUGGGCGCAAGCCUGAUGCAGCCAUGCCGCGUGUAUGAAGAAGGCCUUCGGGUUGUAAAGUACUUUCAGCGGGGAGGAAGGGAGUAAAGUUAAUACCUUUGCUCAUUGACGUUACCCGCAGAAGAAGCACCGGCUAACUCCGUG
rnacentral:rRNA from 1 species